AAAUGAGUACUUAACAAAAAUUCUGGGAACAAAUCUUUCAUUUAUAAAUCAACAAGAAACGCGACAACAUUGAAGAUAGUUUUUGUCAAAUACUAAGGCAAAUAAUAAAAUUAAAACGAUAGAAUGGAUAUUUUAUUUAAAAGUCCAAAAGUGUGAAGAUAGCUGCCGUGAAAUUUGAAAAUGUGUUGGAAAAUUUCUUAGAAAUUGAGAAAACCAUGUGGAAAAUUUUAACUUUGAGUAUGUAAACUCUGAAGAGAUAACCAAACUGGGGAAAUUCCUGUAAAAUUGUUUACAAUGUAAACGGAAAUGGAUCCUAGGAUGGUGUAACCAUGAGAAUGUAAACUCUUAGAGGUGGUGAAGAAUUUGGAAAACUAUCUGUACAGGAUGUACAAGAAAUUAAAUCCUCUUGAAAGUGAUUUCUCUCAAAAUCCCUCUAACUAUGAGGAACUUCUUGACAUCUGUUUCAAUUCCAAAAUGAAAUCAAAAUGGUUGCUGAACACGCUGUUUUAUUAACACAAUGUUGCAAAGAUGCCAGAUCAUGUGUGAAUUGUAUUAGUUUAUCCGUUGGUGUUAAUGAAUGCUAUUAUAGUAAAAUCGUUUACUUAA